rnacentral:rRNA from 1 species
UACGAUACGAGUUUGAUCAUGGCUCAGAAUCAACGCUGGCGGCGUGCCUCAGACAUGCAAGUCGAACGAUUAAAGCUCUCUUCGGAGAGUGUAUAGAGUGGCGCACGGGUGAGUAACACGUAAGUAAUCUACCCUCGAGUGGGGAAUAACAACCGGAAACGGUUGCUAAUACCGCAUAAUGCAGCGGCACCGCAAGGUGACAGUUGUUAAAGAUUUAUCGCUUGAGGAGGAGCUUGCGGCAGAUUAGCUAGUUGGUAGGGUAACGGCUUACCAAGGCUACGAUCUGUAACCGGUCUAAGAGGACGGUCGGUCACACUGACACUGAAUAACGGGUCAGACUCCUACGGGAGGCAGCAGUCGGGAAUUUUGGGCAAUGGGCGAAAGCCUGACCCAGCAACGCCGCGUGAAGGAUGAAGUAUUUCGGUAUGUAAACUUCGAAAGAAUAGGAAGAAUUAAUGACGGUACUAUUUAUAAGGUCCGGCUAACUACGUG